AGAGUCCCGCCCGGCAAGGUUGGCCCACCAGCCGGAAGUGAGUCUUGCGUGGUGCCGGGCGACCGGCGUCGCGAAGCGUAGACAGCGAGCGUGCGGGCCGUGGGAUAGAGCCUCGAAAGAACGGAGGUCGUGGGGCCGACGUCGUGAGCGUAGCGGAAGGCAACAUCGUCGCGUCAAGAGCGAGCCUGGGUAGCCCCCGCUCGCUCUGGCGGGAUCCCUGACCG
rfam:Sorangium cellulosum 'So ce 56' complete genome